rnacentral:rRNA from 1 species
CAACAGGGAUUGCCUCAGUAACUGCGAGUGAAGCGGCAAAAGCUCAAAUUUGAAAUCUGGCCCGUCUCCGGCGGCCCGAGUUGUAAUUUGGAGGGGCAUCUUCAGGGGUGGGCGCCGUCCUAAGUUCCUUGGAACAGGACGUCACAGAGGGUGAGAAUCCCGUGCCUGGGCGGCUGUCCCGCUCCAUGUGAAGUGUCUCCGACGAGUCGAGUUGUUUGGGAAUGCAGCUCAAAAUGGGUGGUAAAUUUCAUCUAAAGCUAAAUAUUGGCGAGAGACCGAUAGCGCACAAGUAGAGUGAUCGAAAGAUGAAAAGCACUUUGAAAAGAGAGUUAAAAAGUACGUGAAAUUGUUGAAAGGGAAGCGCUUGAGAUCAGACUCGUCGGACGGCAACCAUCGGUGCUUCUGUGCCGUGCACUUGCCGACCGACGGGCCAGCAUCGGUUCUGGCGGCGGGAAAAAGGCUCGGGCAAUGUGGCUCUCUUCGGGGAGUGUUAUAGGCCCGGGUGUCAUACCGCCUGCUGGGACCGAGGACCGCGCUUCGGCUAGGAUGCUGGCGUAAUGGUCUUAAGCGACCCGUCUUGAAACACG